UGGAACUGACAGUGAUGGGAAUGUGGCAA
rnacentral:piRNA from 1 species